rfam:TPA: Bos taurus chromosome 25, whole genome shotgun sequence.
UCGUUGGUGGUCCAGUGGCUAAGACUCCGAGCUCCCAAUGCAGGAGGGCCCAGGUUCAAUUCCUGGUCAGGGAA